GAUAUUAGUCAAUGGCCUAACGGCUGAACUGGCAACUUGGAGAAGUGGCAAGUCUUCCAGUAUGGGGAGCAAAACAGCUAUGGGUCAAGUCCGAUAUCUUUAGGAGGCGCGAAGCUCCUCUUAUUGUGAGGGCGAGUUUUAUAACACCAUAGGACUGGCCGUCCCAUAUGAAAAGAUUAUAUUAGAAUUGAAUGAAGCUUUGUUUAUAUAUUGAUAAUGACAGUAUAUAUAUCGUGUCUUGACUAAUUGCGUGCCAGCAGUCGCGGUAAUACGUAAGAGACUAGUGUUAUUCAUCUUAAUUAGGUUUAAAGGGUACCCAGACGGUCAAUAUAGCUUAUAAAAUGUUAGUACUUGACUAGAGUUUUAUGUAAGAGGGCAGUACUUGAGGAGGAGAGAUGAAAUUUCGUGAUACCAAAGGGACUCGGUAAAGGCGAAGGCAGCCCUCUAGGUAAAAACUGACGUUGAAGGACGAAGGCACAGAGAACAAACAGGAUUAGAUACCCAAGUAGUCUUUGCAGUAAAUGAUGAAUGCCAUAGGUUAGAUCUGAGUUGGUAGUCUAGUUGAGUUAGUUUACUAAACUAAUGAUCUAUACAAGCCAGCCUUAGAUUUGGUCUAUAAAUGAAAGUGUAAGCAUUUCACCUCAAGAGUAAUGUGGCAACGCAGGAACUGAAAUCACUAGACCGUUUCUGACACCAGUAGUGAAGUAUGUUAUUUAUU
rnacentral:rRNA from 1 species